GAAAUGGAUUGCGAAGAAGAUCCGAAGAAGCCUCUUUAUCAUAUCUAACUUACAUAUUACACAUGUAUAUGCUCGCGUCGCUGAUACAUGGCAAGACGUUCACUAUAAAAUAAGCAAAUCAUUUAAAUGUGCCAAAAUUCCGCAUUGCGCUUGCGCUCUCAGUGUAUCUAUAUCUGAUACAGAAGCCCAAAUAAAACUAGGCUUUCAAACACCCAUUAGCGACUGCCCCUUCGGGAGUGCUUCCCCCUCUCCAAGCGUGGUGACGUCAAUCGCGGAAACAUGUGUAUGUGAACGGUGGCCUUUCAGCCUUCACCCUCACUUUCGGCACUUCAGAACCACAAGUCGGUGGAAGGCACCGACAAAGCGAUCCAGCAAAACCACUGCACGAUCCUGCCUAUAGCCUGCAAUCGGUUGGAAGGCGUGCAGCUCGGGCCAGCAUGAAACGGAGCCCGAAGGAGUGCGACUGCUUGAUGUGCCCGGAUUGUGAACAGAAGACUCGUGCUAAGCUAAGGGGUUGGCUGCAGGGGCAGCCAGGCCCUCUAGAACUCGAGGAACAGAAGCGGCUGUCGCGAGAAGCAGGAGAAGCUGGUUUUCCGGGUGCCGCUCUGGUGUCUGAAUCGCCGGCCGCUGCCGUUGGGUGUCGACAACGUUCCACUGAAAGCGAGUCGAUGGAGGGCAUCAAGAAAACGGAGACUUCCAACGAGGGAUCUGGCGGCGCAAGUCGUGGAGGCCCUCCUUCGCAAGUAGGAAAGGCCUCUAGCUCAAGGUCUUCUGGCGACGCUGAAGGGCCUCGAACCAAGAUGCCCUUUUACAGCGGCUGGUUCAGAAAGUGCUGAAGUGCCUCGUGAUAGUCCAUGAUGGCUAUCGGGAUCAUCGACCCCGGUGCUUCCAGCACCGUCUGUUUCGUCAUUGAUGAAGCGAUGCUCACUGCAAUUAUCGAAAACUUCGAUCUUUAGACAAUAAACGUGCUUUCGUUUCUUUUA